rnacentral:rRNA from 1 species
ACGAACGCUGGCGGCGUGCCUAAUACAUGCAAGUCGAGCGGAAUGAUGAAGAAGCUUGCUUCUUCUGAUUUUAGCGGCGGACGGGUGAGUAACACGUGGGCAACCUACCUUGUAGAUUGGGAUAACUCCGGGAAACCGGGGCUAAUACCGAAUAAUCCAUUUUGCUUCAUGGCGAGAUGUUGAAAGACGGUUUCGGCUGUCACUACAAGAUGGGCCCGCGGCGCAUUAGCUAGUUGGUAGGGUAAUGGCCUACCAAGGCGACGAUGCGUAGCCGACCUGAGAGGGUGAUCGGCCACACUGGAACUGAGACACGGCCCAGACUCCUACGGGAGGCAGCAGUAGGGAAUCUUCCACAAUGGACGAAAGUCUGAUGGAGCAACGCCGCGUGAGUGAAGAAGGUUUUCGGAUCGUAAAACUCUGUUGUAAGGGAAGAACACGUACGAGAGUAACUGCUCGUACCUUGACGGUACCUUAUUAGAAAGCCACGGCUAACUACGUG